UACGGAGGGUGCGAGCGUUGUCCGGAAUCACUGGGCGUAAAGGGUGCGUAGGCGGUUUGGUAAGUCUCGUGUGAAAUCUACAGGCUCAACUUGUAGUCUGCACGAGAAACUGCCGGGCUUGAGUGUGGGAGAGGUGAGUGGAAUUCCUGGUGUAGCGGUGAAAUGCGUAGAUAUCAGGAGGAACACCUGUGGCGAAAGCGGCUCACUGGACCAUAACUGACGCUGAUGCACGAAAGCUAGGGGAGCAAACAGG
rnacentral:rRNA from 1 species